ensembl:lncRNA
GCUCAAAAAUGUCAUAGUAUAGUAUGUCGUCCAAAAAACGUCAUACUUUUUGGUGGGGUUUCGGACGACAUACUAAACUAUGAUAUUUUUUCCAAAUUUCGGACGACAUACUAAACUGACAUUUUUGCGACAUUUUGGACGACAUACUAAACUGACAUUUUUGGGACAUUUUGGACAACAUACUAAACUGACAUUUUUGGGAUAUUUUGGACGACCUACUAAACUGACGUUUUUGCGACAUUUUGGACGACCUACUAAACUGACGUUUUUCCGACAUUUUGGACGACAUACUAACCUAUGAUGUUUAUCUUCGAUUUCUUCAGUAAUUUAAUGAGUUAUCAGCAACAAUCCAGUGUUCAUUUGAUGAACUUCAUUUCCUGCAACAUCCAGAAUUGGAGCUCAUAUCUUUGGCAGCUGUAAAGUUUCUGCUCCUUCAAAGUUCACAACACAAUGAAUGAAUUCCUAAAACACUCUCAAUGCUGGAGAGUGUUUGAUGCUGAAGCAGUGAUCAGUUUUUCUGUUUCUUCUCUGGAGAUGCACAAUGAGGGACGUCUGCAGAGACUGAGAAAGAGUCUCACCACAUCCUGACAUGAGGAAAAAGACUUUAUUGAAGACUAGAAUGAGAAAAACUAUCAGACAGCAGACGGCUGCAUUCAAGUCUGUAGCUGCUGAAUUCAUGGAUGAAUCAUCUGGCACUAGAGAAGAAGACCAUCAAACAUCCACGUCAGCUGAUGGAGGUCCAAGAGUCUCACCCAACAAACAGCCUACAGAGUGAAGACCUCGAAUCUGAUUGGACGGCCUCCUAUUCAGCCACGUGUGAACAAAUGCCUCUAAGCUGAUUUGUUUUCUAAAAUCUAGUUUGAAUCCUAAUCUAUGCCUGUGUGUUUGCUUCUUUACACUGCUGUUAAAAGUUUGGGCUGUUAGAUUGUUCCAGAUAAGACAAGUACAAGAUUCUUCAGAGCUGUUCUACCACGAGCCUGACAGGAAGAACUCCAAUAUACCAAUAAACUCACCUUUUAGGUCUAUAUUGGAGGAUUUUAGGUGGAAUUUUCUUCCAAACCGUCUUUUAGUCUACAUUUAAGGAUGUUUAGGAUGGUAUAUUCUUCCAAACCAACUUCUCAGGUCUACAUUUCA